rnacentral:rRNA from 1 species
GUGUCAGCCGCCGCGGUAAUACGUAGGGGGCAAGCGUUAUCCGGAUUUACUGGGUGUAAAGGGAGCGUAGACGGCGAAGCAAGUCUGAAGUGAAAGCCCGGGGCUCAACCCCGGAAUUGCUUUGGAAACUGUUUUGCUGGAGUGCAGGAGAGGCAAGCGGAAUUCCUAGUGUAGCGGUGAAAUGCGUAGAUAUUAGGAGGAACACCAGUGGCGAAGGCGGCUUGCUGGACUGUAACUGACGUUGAGGCUCGAAAGCGUGGGGAGCAAACAGGAUUAGAUACCCUGGUAGUCCACGCUGUAAACGAUGAAUACUAGGUGUCGGGGAGCAAAGCUUUUCGGUGCCGCCGCAAACGCAGUAAGUAUUCCACCUGGGGAGUACGUUCGCAAGAAUGAAACUCAAAUGAAUUGGCGGG